rnacentral:rRNA from 1 species
GAGUGGCGAACGGGCGAGGAAUGCGUUUCUAACGUGCCCCAAGGUCGAGGAUAGCUCGGGGAAACCCGGGGUAAUACUCGAUGACCCCCAUGGAUCGCAUGGUUCGUGGGGCAAAGGCUUGCUGCCUUGGGAUCGGGAAACGCCCUAUCAGGUUGUUGGUGAGGUAACGGCUCACCAAGCCUAAGACGGGUAGCGGGUGUGAGAGCAUGACCCGCCGCAUCGGGACUGAGACACUGCCCGGACUCCUACGGGAGGCUGCAGCAACGGAUAUUGGGCAAUGAGCGAAAGCUUGACCCAGCAAUGCCGCGUGCAGGAGGAAGCCCCUCGGGGUGUAAACUGCUGUCAGGGUUUAGGAAGUUCUGACCAAACCCAAAGGAAGGGCCGGCUAACUUCGUGCCAGCAGCCGCGGUAAUACGAAGGGCCCAAGCGUUAAUCGGAAUCACUGGGCUUAAAGGGUGCGCAGGCGGAAUGGUCAGUGUCUUGUGAAAUCCCACGGCUCAACCGUGGAACUGCAGGGCAUACUGCCAUUCUUGAGGCCGGUAGAGGCCGCCGGAACUCUAGGUGUAGCGGUGAAAUGCGUAGAUAUCUAGAGGAACGCCAAAGACGAAGGUAGGCGGCUGGGCCGGGUUCCGACGCUCAGGCACGAAAGCGUGGGGAGCAAACAGGAUUAGAUACCCUGGUAGUCCACGCCGUAAACGUUGUGCACUAGGUGCUGGAGGUUCUGACACCAUCAGCGCCGAAGCGAAAGUGAUUAGUGCACCGCCUGGGGAGUACGGUCGCAAGGCUAAAACUCAAAGGAAUUGACGGGGGCUCACACAAGCGGUGGAGCAUGUGGCUUAAUUCGAGGCAACGCGAAGAACCUUAUCCUGGGCUUGACAUGCAUGGAUUAACGCUGGGAAACCAGCGCCACACUCUUUGAGUGGAACAUGCACAGGUGCUGCAUGGCUGUCGUCAGCUCGUGCUGUGAAGUGUUGGGUUAAGUCCCUUAACGAGCGAAACCCCUGUCGCUAGUUACCAUCAGGUAAUGCUGGGGACUCUAGCGAGACUGCCGGUGUCAAACCGGAGGAAGGCGGGGAUGACGUCAAGUCCUCAUGGCCUUUAUGCCCAGGGCUGCACACGUGCUACAAUGGCGCCGACAGAGCGAAGCAAAACCGCGAGGUAGAGCAAAUCGCAAAAAAGGUGCCCCAGUUCGGAUUGCAGUCUGCAACUCGACUGCAUGAAGCCGGAAUCGCUAGUAAUCGCGUAUCAGCAACGACGCGGUGAAUACGUUCCUGAGCCUUGUACACACCGCCCGUCAAGUCAUGGAAGCCGGGAGUACCCGAAG